ensembl:rRNA 5S_rRNA 5S ribosomal RNA
GUCCACGGCCAUGCUACCCUGAACAACAAGCCGGAUCUCGUCUGAUCUCGGUAGCUAAGCAGAGUUGGGCCUGGUUAGUACAUGGAUAGGAGACCACCUAGGAAGACCAGGUGUUGUAGCUG